UAAUGUUCUUGCACAGUUCUGUCAGCGUACAUCAGGUAUUGGCCGUGUGGCCACUAUUAUCAAAGCAGCCAUUAGGCUCACCACCAAAGGAGUACGUGAGUAUGAGCAUAUUGGCUUUCUUGAUUGAAUUUUUGUCGCGUGAAAUUAAAUUUCGUUUCACCAACGACCAAUAUAGCAAUAUAUAUGGUAGAAAGUCUGUCAAAUGCCGUUCUUCUUUAGAUACGAGGAUACAAUAUCAUUGAAAGAGAGCAUAAAUGAAAGAAAAGAAAACCAAUUCAAUCCGUGUAAGUAUGGAAUUAUGACUGAACUUCCAUUGUUGGGGGAACAACUUUUGCAUUCAAUUGCACUAGUUACUAAAACUGGGUAAUAAACAAGUAGAAUUUAACAAUAGCUGCGAACAAGCCAAUUAGCAGCUAAUAGCAUCAAGAUUCCAUUCCUCAUUGAUAGUGCUUUCGAAGAUUCAACAUCACCUUCGACAAUUAACUAUCCAAGCAUCAAGAUCUUACUUUAGCAUAGGAAUAUUAAAAUCAAAUGACCAUAAUUAACCAUUCUCUCAUCUGCGACACAGGAGUAAACAUGUUUAGUGAAAUCGGAUCCCUGUGAAGUAACUUAGUCAUGACAAAUCAUAUAAAUGGUAUGGAUUGUUCAACAGCUAGAAUCCUUUUGAAUUGUUUAGAUGGUGAUUCCAGGUCAUGAAAGACUGAAAAAAUGUAGGACUGAAGGAUGAAGGGUACAUACAAGGUUUAAGAAGCAUGAGAUAUGACUAGAAAUCCAUUUUAAGUUCACGUACAAUUCAUUUCUUGGUCUUCUGCACGGUUAUUUUUCCUUGACCCAUGAUCAUCUGAGAGUGACAUUACAAACACAACAACUGGCUAUUGCUGGCUUAGUUGUUGGAACAUUGGAAGGGAAGGCAAAAGACUUUCAUCACACAAAUUCAGGCGCUUGAUGUCCUGAAAAAUAAUAUUUCAUUCAUCCGAUUUUUCAAGAUUUUGUUUAUGUCCAGCUGAAGGCUAUUGGACUCCCGACAACAUGUUUCCUACUUGACCAUUCCAGGUGAGCGAAGCUGGUGGUACCAGAUGGCAUAGAAGUAGCAGUGAAUGUCACCGUGUAACUCUUUUUCUCAUAUUGUUCACUGAAAUUAAGUGAUUGCGGCUCGACCAAGAUAUUCACUGAUGGAGUUUCAGAAGAUAUUGAAACCUUAUACGUUGCUGGAGGCGCGACAUUAGUCAAAGUCCUGGUGUAUGUUACAAUGCUUGUUACUCCGGCACCACCUCCUUUCCCUGAAGCAGUUUGGAGAGGAACAGAGAAAGAUGGAUAAUUGAGAUCACCCAGACUGUAUUUCUUGCUCGGGUCGCAGGUGAAGUCUCUGUUUGUGGCAAGCUUAAUCUGGGAUGAACUAUAGUUUAAUGCACAGAGGAAGCUUAGAUAGUCCUCAACUGUGGCAUCAUAGACAAGGCCAGGAUCAAGGGCUGCUACUGGAUUUACAUGUCCAGCUCCAUAAUCAAAUGGUGUUGAUGGCUGCCCAGUGGACACAUCUAGUAUGGUUUUCCCAUUUUUGUAUGUUGUAUAUGCUGUGGUCAUGAGGGCAGACCUAAUGGCUGCUGGGCUCCAAUCCGAAUGUGCAGCCUUGAGGAGUGCAGCUAACCCACUAACAUGUGGACAUGACAUCGAUGUACCAGAAAUGAUAUUGAAGCUUACCCGCCUGGAGUCAUCGGUUAGCCCAGUUGGACCAACUGCACCUGUCCAUCCAGCUAGUAUGUUCACUCCUGGAGCUAUCAAGUCUGGUUUCAUUACCUCUGGGGUGACCAGAUUUGGGCCUCUAGAACUGAAUGCGGCUACCACUGGUGAAGGCUCAACUCCUAGAUGUGUGACUCCAGAAGCAAUUGUGGCAACUGGCUUAGGAUCAGAGAAGGCAUAAUUCUUGAUGGCAUCCCCGCUGCUUUGUCCUACGGCUGCUGUUGGUAAAAGAUGUGCGUCUGCAACUAGCUCUUCCCCAUACAAAUCUGUGUUUGCUAAAAUCAUCCCUAAGCCACCAGCAUGUUUCACCUCCAAUCCCUUUUGCACCCGACUGUUCCCCCCUCGAUCACAUAUCACAAUUUUCCCAGCAACUUUUGCAGGACUCAACGUGCCUGACAUACAGAGAUAACCACUCGUUGAACUACUCGCAUUACCAGCAUAAACCACUGGCACCAGUGAAUCAGAUAAUGGCUUUCCACUAUAAAGUGAUGCGCCUGAGUAAUUCUUCCCAUUUCCAAGGGUUACAUAGGCUGGAAAAUCUCGGUCUAGUGUUCCAGCACCUACAGUAGUUAUCCAAGGAGCAACGUUGGACAAGCUGCCCUGACUUGGUCCGCCAUUUCCUGCUGAACAUGAUACCAUAAUUCCCCGUGCUGUUGCUGUGAAAGCUGCAAUGGCAACAGUAUCUUUAUAGUAAUCAGUGAGUCCUCCCCCAAUAGACAUGGAUAUGACAUUCACUCCAUCUUCGACAGCCUUGUCCAUCGCAGCCAUUAUAUCAGAGCCAAAACACCCACCAACCCAACAUACUUUGUAAACUGCUACUCGGGCUUGUGUAGCCAUCCCACGUGCUAUCCCAGUAGCAUAACCGAAUAGGCUAGCUCCCGAAACCGCUGACCCAGCUGCUGUAGUUGAAGUGUGAGUUCCAUGGCCAUCAUCAUCUCUUGGGGACUUUGAUUCAACUGUUUCGUCAAUGGGUCCAAAUGCCGCUUCAUACCCUUGUGAGAAAAACCUUGCUCCAAUUAAUUUCCGGUUACAGCUUGAUGAAUUAAAGUUCUUGCCUAUCUGACAUUCUCCUUUCCAGGUACUUGGAAUGGGGCCAAGACCUGUGUCAUCAAAGCUUUUCAAUUCUGGCCAGACACCGGUGUCUAGCACUGCAACAACCACCUCACUAACCGAGUCAGAUGCAGGGAGGACAGCAUCACUUUUUCCUAAUCCAAGGAACUCUGGGGUUCGAGUAGUAUGCAGCUCAUACACCCUUUCAGGCAGGACAGAGAGAAUUCCUUGCUGUUUUUCAAGCGAUUCAGCUUCUUCAGGUGUGAGUCUUGUGGAAAAGCCAUGGAUUACAUUAUUGUAAGCGUAAAGCAUAUCAGAAGAUUCUGAUAUUGAUUUUAAAGAUGAAUCAUACCACUGGAGGUGAUCAUUGAAACUCGCUGGCAUAUAGGACUUGUCCAUGUGAAUUAUGUAAGUCUUCUUGGAUUGCAAGUUCUUCACUUCUGCUAUCACAUUCGCAUACAUGUAAAAGAAGCACAGAAGUGCUGCCAUCAAUUGAAAUCUGAAAUUCACUAGCUUCAUCUUCACACUCUGCCUUGCGUAACCUCAGUUGGAUAAUUCAGGCAAUUCAGUGAGUCCCUUCUGAUACUAUCUUUAUUUGAAAACUGCAAUGAGAAUGGAAAUUAAGUAAGGUUUACAUAGGAGUAGGAGAGAUUCUCUUGGUUGGUAGCUGGCUAGUGCAUUUCCAAUUAUAACAUUGCUGAUUGGGUAGGUCACCACUGAGGAGAUAUUAUAAUGUGCAUGAUGGCACUAGGUUUGACUCGAUGGAUCCUUGGCCCCUGCACAUCUGAAAGUGAUCUGAAGCUAUGUGAUGGAUGGGAUACUGUGAAGCCUAUCAAAAUUAGCAGUGUUUUAUAAUUAUUAUAAUGAAUUUGCUAUAUUUCUCGGUUACUUUGAUGUAUUGAUAGCUGCAAGGGUACUCUUUAUGCUGAUUGAAGCACGUGUUCUUACAAACGCAGCCAUAUUUUAACAGUUUAAUGUCUCAUAAUAAAUUCUAUUUUAAUUAAUUUUGCUUGCUUGGAUGAGAUUCAAG
rnacentral:misc_RNA from 1 species